UACAGAGGUGGCAAGCGUUGUUCGGAAUCAUUGGGCGUAAAGCGCGUGUAGGCGGUUUCUUAAGUCUGAUGUGAAAGCCCUGGGCUCAACCCAGGAAGUGCAUUGGAUACUGGGAGACUUGAAUACGGGAGAGGGUAGUGGAAUUCCUAGUGUAGGAGUGAAAUGCGCAGAUAUCAGGAGGAACACCGGUGGCGAAGGCGGCGACCUGGGUAGAUACUGACGCUGAGGUGCGAAAGCGUGGGGAGCAAACAGG
rnacentral:rRNA from 1 species